rnacentral:tRNA from 1 species
GUGGAUAUAGCUCAUUGGUAGAGCGGAUGCUUAGCAUACAUUACAUCCUAGGUUCAAUCCUCAGUGACUCCA